GUCAGCGUGCAUCCUCCUCUCAGAGUGCCCACCCUGAAAAUGGCAGUCUGGCUGUUCUUGCCAUGUGCCGAAGGCCCGAAUUCCGGUAGGAAGUCGGAUGCGCAAAGACUGUUUCCGAGAAUUCGGGAUGCGCAAAAGCCACGCGUCUCCUCUCCCUGUUCUAUUCCAAAUCCCCGAAAUACCACAGCAGACGUGCGCGCAUUGUGUAGCAUCUCUUUGCGGAACAUCAAACGUUUGUAAUUGCAUCGGUUUCUUCCUGUGCCUGUUUUAUUUUCUGGCUACGUUACGCACCCAUCCACACAGACGGAUCAUGAGUCACGGCUUGGCGAGAGACGGGGUGGCGGCUCUGAACGGUCGCUGUCUGUUUUCCGCUCUUCAGGUGUCUCUCUCGGAUUCCUCGCCGGGGCAGGAGGGGUUGCUGUAAUGUCGAUAUAAUGACAGAUGGUCCACACAAAGCCGGUGCGCAUUGUUCAGCUGAAAAAUAAUAGCCACCAUUUAUCAGUGUUCGCCGACUUUCAGGGCCCAGCAGGAACAGGAGACUGUCUCGCAGGAUUUCACUGUCCUGUCGAGGCGGACUGAUGCGGUUUCUUCCUGCUUUGCUCUGCUCUUGAUUACGUCUGUUGGAGGGGCGGCAGGGAGGGGAUCCGGUGCACAGGGAUCACUGGGAGGACGGGGAUUGGCUCCGAGGAGAUAGCUUGAUAAAAACGCGCGGCUGCCAUUGGAUGAGGGCGCUUCUGGGAGGAGGAGGUGGAUGAGGAAGAGGAGGAGGAGGAGGAGGAGGGGGUCUGUCGUGUAUUAUUCAGGAGAAACCGGGUGGGGAGUAGAAGAGGAGGAGGAUACUCAGGGCAAAGCGGCAUAUGCAGACAAUGCCCUGUGUCUCCAAAAAUUCAGAUUUCAUUGGUGGACUUAUCCUCCCUCCAGUUUAUAUGGCUUCCGAUAAUCUCUUCAUGUGGACUCACAGUCAAAUUGGAGCACUUAUCCAAGUCUGUGGUAGCUAUUAGUGUUUCUAAUGACCUCACUGCACUUAAUACAGGCUCUGGGAUCUCUGUAAUAACUCCAUAAAUGCUGUUUCCUAUAGGAAAAAUGAUGUAGCAUGGAGAAAAAUCCCAGAACUGACACAGCUGCAGCAGCGUGUGUUUCUUUGUAGUCCUAUUUUAAGAUUAAUUUGAUGAAAAGACUGCUGGGCUGUUCAGAUGGAAGGGAGUGACUAUAAAUAAAUCAAACAACUGUUAUUUUGCAACAUCAAACCUCAACACUAGUGUGUGUGUGACGUUCCUUGUGCAAGACUGUGCAUAAGGCCCUGAGAGUGUCUCUGUGUGUGUUUUCUUCUGUAUGUAGGCUACCAGAAAGCUGGAACUGCAGAAUUUUCCACACAGGAGUAAGAGAGGAAAUGGUGCAUGGAUAAUUCUCUCUUCAGAUCCUCUGGUACUCGCUCGGAGAGUACUCGGCUGAAUCAAUACUGCUCAAAGCUUUCUCAUGUUCCCCCUUCUCACAUCGGUGCUACUGUUGGGAGGCGGCGGAGUCCGGCGGUUGAACCAUUUUAGUUUUUUUUCUGGAGAUGAUGCUGGAAAAAAAAAAGUCCAGCUUUGGCUCUCUGUAGAGGCGAUUACAAUAUUAAAUCACCCUUGACCCACAGGCCUCCCGAACACAAACGGAUCCACGUCCAUAAUGCAGACAGUGAGUUGUUAACCUGCAUACUGAGCCAGUGGGAGCAGACAGUGAAAAUCCUAAUAACCACAGCGGGGGCUCUUCUCUGACCGGUAGCCAUGGUGAUUGAACACAUUUCUCCACACAGCAGAAAGGCGGUCCGUCUGUGCUGCACCACACAGGCCUUUAUUAGGCCCAGACCCUUGGACUGGAAGGAAGGAAGCACCAAGUGGAGGAUCACACCCAUUUCAUUGUGACUCUACAAUUUUACGACAGUCAAGAGGCCGUCGACCAUAAAUCAGCUUUUUUUUUUUCCCUUUUUUUUGUGGAAGACAGUCUGCUCCUCUCUCCGUUAAACCGAUAAAAUAGCACGCUCAAACUCGGCGCAUCAUCUGAUUAUUGUGUAAAUUUGAAGGCUCAUUUGCAUAACUGGUGGGAAUGAUGCUCUCAGAAGUAUGGCACCUUAGAUUUAUUCAGUAUUCAGUCUAAUUUCAAACAUCCAAAUGAGAGCAACAGCCUUGGCUUGAUUUCCUUUAAGCUUCUAAUCUCUCUUUCCUCUUAAUUUAGCCGCAGCUUCAAUCACAGCUCUUUCACAAAUCUAACCGUGUGGGUGUUUAUGUGUGCGACUACUAUCAUGUGAAAACCUUCUAAUUCCAUAUUCGGUGCAGAUUCGUGCUUUUCCUUUCCAGCUGAGGGGUCAUAUGGUUCUGCGUGGGUUUAAAGGAUUUGGUUUUUGAUAAGGCCUCGUUUCAAUCAUUUAUGAAUGCUUAGUCAGUGAUAAGGUAUCGAUACACAACAACUUUUGGGUUGACAAGUUAAGAAAAAGUCCAUCUUGUUUUGCUUUGAAACGACCAUUUAACUUGUGGAACAGUGAAUUCAAGCCUUUUACUUGAUUGGUGUUGUAACUUUCACCGUCUUACUAACAUUCAUAACUUCAGACUUUAAGCCCUGUCAGAAAGAAGACAACAUCACCAUGUACUGAGAACUUACUUUUUAACUCCAAACCAAUGGACAUUUCAAGUAAUCAAGUACAUUUUUAUACUUUUCCUGCGCAUUUCCACUUUAUGCUAUUUUAUACGUCUGCUUCACUACAUUUCACAAGGAACCAUUGUACUUUUUACUCAGAGAUGAUUUAAGGUUUAAAUAAUGUAGAAAAUCUCAGUUUAUUAGAUAUGACAGCAUAUCAGUAAUGUCACACUGAGAGGGUCCGUUCUGCAUAUGAUUGUACUUGUUGCUAAUACUUGUAUAAUCUUAUUUGAAGCUACCAUGCAGAGUUUAUCACGAACACAUGUAUGCAAACAUUUGGAGGAGCACGAUGCGUAUUGUGGUUGCUGGUUAUUCCAUUAUUCCACUGAUAUGAUUUGCCACGACAUGCGGAAAUCUGCAAGUAGCAAAAGGAAACUAAACAUGAUGUAAACAACAAGCAAUCUAAAAUAUACACGAAUCAGAUUUAUGUAUGCUCUGCAAGGAAAUGUAUUGAAUAAAUUUUCUGAAUAUGUGCACAAAACAUUUGGUGAGAAACAAUGAAGUAUUGAAGUAUUCUUAUAGUUUGGUGUAUUCUUUUCUCACCACCUACCAAAAUGAAUUUUCAUGAAGUAAAUGCCAUUUCAGUUAAUAGUUUGGUAGAUAAUCCAUUAAUUAAAAUACAUAAAGUCAUCAGUAAUGGCUUUUUUUAAGGCUGUAUAACGAUUACAAGAAACAGAUAAUUAUUCCACUGCUUUGGAUGAUUUAAUCUCCUUCAAAUCAAUCUACUAGACUCCAAAAUGUCUUUCCGUCUGUCUGAAAACCACAUCUGUCUGCUCAGUUUAUGAAAAGUUGACGUUUUGGGGCCAGGGUUCAUUUGCAGCAGCGCCUGUGUAAGCUACCCGGAUUCGCGUAUUUACUCUUAUGUCCAUGUGUGAUCCAGACACAAGCCAACACUGGACUCAACACAAGUGAAAAGUGUCCAAUGUGUUACUGUUGAUUUCCAUGACAACGUAUUAAGCUGAGGCUUAAAACCGUGGCUGUACCAUACUGUGCCUAGUAAGAGUGAAAUCUCCAACUGCUUCAGUAAUGAGCUGUCUAACAUGCUGUCAUCCUCUGCAGAUGGAGAACAUACAGUAGGCCACUCUGCGCUUUUCAUAAUUAUCCAGUCACAAAUGAUUUAAAGGAGUAGUUUGACAGUUGGUGGAAUAUGCUUAUUUUUGCUUUCUUCACAGGAUUGGGUAAGAAGAUUGAUACCAGUCUCACGUCUGUAUGAUUAUUACGACUGGCUGUUAGCUUAGCUUAACACAGAGGCUGCAAACAGACGCAAGAAAAAGCAAAAACAGCACGUAAGCCUACAGAUUUUGCCACAUUUGGACAGAUCAAGCCUUUACUCCAUGCUAAGCUAAACGUCUGCUGGCUGCAGCUUUCCAGUUUCCACACGUGCAUGGUAACAGUAUUCUCAUCUCUCAGCAAGGAAGAAAAUAAACUGAUGCAAUUCCUUUAAAGUUUUAGCUUUUGAAUGUUACAUAUAAAAUGCAUUUGUCUACAAGUGACCGACACACGGGGCUCCAGUGCUUUUCUGUAAUUUGGGAACCCAGAUAUCAAGUGUUCCCUAAAGAGAUCAGGGGAUAUUAGCAGCAGCAGUAUCCGUAAGUACCUAUAAAAUCUGGAUUAUCAUUAGACACACACAGGUUUUGUUUACUUGAUGGGUCAGAAAAUCGUCCUAUAGCUGCUGUCUAGCAACUAUUCUCAUGCAGCUAAUUGCGAACCGCAGUGUGGGCGCCUUAUCUCGCACCAUCAACGGUACGCCACAGUCCCCGCCAACUCUGGCCCACCUCCUCCAACCCUGCGUACGACUCUGCCACCAUGGAUGCCUCCUGUUGGGUUUCAUUCUUGCAUGAUGCCAGAAGCGAAUUCUCUGUCUCAAUUAAUCACUGAGUUUCUAAUGGAAUGCUUCCCUUCAGGAUGAGGCCCAUCACAGAGGGGGCUGCAGUCAGUGCUGUCGGUGAAGCUGCUCUGAUUGCCUGAAUACACUCCCAGCUUUGGAAUCACUGCAGAUGUCUGCUAAUUGUGGUGAUUAUGGUGAGCAGAGGGGGGUAGGAAUAUGUAAUGAAUUUCCCAUUGCUUUCAUGCCUCACAUCCUUUGGUUCUGUGCAUCUGCUAUAAAAGCAGGGCAUCGGCAGGGUUUGGAGACGGACAAAAGUGACGUGGUGGAUUGGGCAUGGGCUUUUGGAUGGGCAGCCAUUCUAACACCAAGUGCAGCCAGAUUGGGUCCAUUUAUUCUUUUAGUUCUGUUCAUUGCUGAUACAAGGUUUUAAUUCCUCUCCGCACCCACCUUGCUCUUAUUCUCUCAUUUCCUUUCUCCUCAGCUUUGGGUGGGUGAUUUUAAUAACCCUUAAUAACCUUUUCCAGUGGCCAGAAUUAGAUCCAUCAAUUUGACCAUCAAUUUAAAUAAGGAAAAACCCCACAAUAAAAAGAUGCUGAGUGAGGGGAAAGAGAG